rnacentral:misc_RNA from 1 species
GAAAUGCGAUACGUAAUGUGAAUUGCAGAUUUCAGUGAAUCAUCGAAUCUUUGAACGCAUGUGGCGCUCCGGGGCAUGCCUCGGAGCAUGCCUGUUCGAGCAUCGACACAUUUAUCAACACUUCGCACAAUGCGGUUUCGGCUGCGUUGUGCGAGGCGUCGGCCGCUGUCCGUUGGAGCGCGCUCGCGUGCUCCAUCGGUGACUAAAGCUAUUCCCUGGUGCUUAACGUGCCUUUCAUCGUGCUUUGCAGAUUCGCUGUGGUAGCUGGCGCCUGUCGUCAAAUGCUCGGUGGAACUGCGAGGCCGCUUCAGACCGCGAUGGAGGGGUGGUUGAGAGAACACCGCUGGGUCACCCGAUUUUUUCUACAAAAAAUCCACACACGAUCUCGAAUCAGGUAAGGCUACCCGCUGAAUUUAAGC